GCAACCUGCCCAAAAGAGGGGGAUAACACUUGGAAACAGGUGCUAAUACCGCAUAACCAUAGUUACCGCAUGGUAACUAUGUAAAAGGUGGCUAUGCUACCGCUUUUGGAUGGGCCCGCGACGCAUUAGCUAGUUGGUGGGGUAAAGGCUUACCAAGGCAAUGAUGCGUAGCCGAACUGAGAGGUUGAUCGGCCACAUUGGGACUGAGACACGGCCCAAACUCCUACGGGAGGCAGCAGUAGGGAAUCUUCCACAAUGGGCGAAAGCCUGAUGGAGCAACGCCGCGUGGGUGAAGAAGGUCUUCGGAUCGUAAAACCCUGUUGUUAGAGAAGAAAGUGCGUGAGAGUAACUGUUCACGUUUCGACGGUAUCUAACCAGAAAGCCACGGCUAACUACGUGCCAGCAGCCGCGGUAAUACGUAGGUGGCAAGCGUUAUCCGGAUUUAUUGGGCGUAAAGAGAACGCAGGCGGUCUUUUAAGUCUGAUGUGAAAGCCUUCGGCUUAACCGGAGUAGUGCAUUGGAAACUGGGAGACUUGAGUGCAGAAGAGGAGAGUGGAACUCCAUGUGUAGCGGUGAAAUGCGUAGAUAUAUGGAAGAACACCAGUGGCGAAAGCGGCUCUCUGGUCUGUAACUGACGCUGAGGUUCGAAAGCGUGGGUAGCAAACAGGAUUAGAUACCCUGGUAGUCCACGCCGUAAACGAUGAAUGCUAAGUGUU
rnacentral:rRNA from 1 species